GUUUUGAUAAAUCUCCUCCUAUAACUUUCAGGCACAUUUCUUUUCCUCCGGAGUACCCUUUUUACACUAUUAAUAGCAUUUACCAAUGAAUUAUUGCAGCUAUAAAGAGAAGUGAAAAGGAGCAAGUGGGAUUGGAACACACACGUUGCAGGAGCAGGUAGUAAUGUUCAGAAAUUCGAGAGUGGGAUGAAGCUUUCACUCAUAUUAUCUGUUCGGUACUUGACUUGUCUGAACUUGACGUGAACAGACUUGACUGAAGGACGACCUGGUCGGCAGGAAUCUGUAUGCAGGAGCCUUGUUUCUCAUCAUACAGCUGAUGCCUUUUUCCCUACACACAUAUCAGCCCCCCUCCGCCGUGCACCCCUGACCUCUGUCUUUCAUACCUUCCUGACCCUGCACUGCCUGAACAAACUCAACACAGCAGGAGAGAGAAUGGGAGUGACAGCCCGUCAGAUGUUAUCAUGGGGCUGAUGAGAGGGAGGAAGGCAGCGGUCGGACAGGGCCCCAGCUGCAAGAAUAAACUCAUCUGUUGCAGGGCAAGGAGAGAUGAGAGGUUUGGUCUCAUUAGGUUCUUACCUCAUCUCCCAGUACUCAGGGAGUCUUGUAAAUUGACUUUUGUAGGAUGCUGUAAUGUCAGCGUGGGAUUCUAAGCCGGUACACCCUUUCGGUACCAGAAAGAAUUUGCAUAUAUUAAUAAAUGGUCGAAC